rnacentral:rRNA from 1 species
GUGCAGCAGCCGCGGUAAUACGGAGGGUGCAAGCGUUAAUCGGAAUUACUGGGCGUAAAGCGCGCGUAGGUGGAUGAUUAAGUCAGAUGUGAAAGCCCAGGGCUCAACCCUGGAACUGCAUUUGAUACUGGUCAUCUUGAGUACAGUAGAGGGAGGUGGAAUUUCAGGUGUAGCGGUGAAAUGCGUAGAUAUCUGAAGGAACAUCAGUGGCGAAGGCGGCCUUCUGGACUGAUACUGACACUGAGGUGCGAAAGCGCGGGGAGCGAACAGGAUUAGAUA